GAUAGGAAACAAAAAGGCAUCUUUUUGUUUUUAAAAGACCUUCUUACGAAGGUAUGCUUAAAGAGGGGCUUGCGCCACAUUAGUUAGUUGGUAGAGUAAAAGCCUACCAAGACGAUGAUGUGUAGCUGGACUGAGAGGUUGAACAGCCACAUUGGGACUGAGACACGGCCCAAACUCCUACGGGAGGCAGCAGUAGGGAAUUUUCGGCAAUGGAGGAAACUCUGACCGAGCAACGCCGCGUGAACGAUGAAGUAUUUCGGUAUGUAAAGUUCUUUUAUUGAAGAAGAAAAAGUAGUGGAAAAACUAUAUUGACGUUAUUCAAUGAAUAAGCCCCGGCUAACUAUGUGCCAGCAGCCGCGGUAAGACAUAGGGGGCGAGCGUUAUCCGGAAUUAUUGGGCGUAAAGGGUGCGUAGGCUGUUAGAUAAGUCUAUAAUUUAAUUUCAGUGCUUAACGCUGUCUUGUUAUAGAAACUGUCUUGACUAGAGUGAGAUAGAGGCAAGCGGAAUUCCAUGUGUAGCGGUAAAAUGUGUAAAUAUAUGGAGGAACACCAGAAGCGUAGGCGGCUUGCUGGGUCUUUACUGACGCUGAGGCACGAAAGCGUGGGUAGCAAACAGGAUUAGAUACCCUGGUAGUCCACGCCGUAAACGAUGAGUACUAAGUGUCGGGGUAAAACUCGGUACUGAAGUUAACACAUUAAGUACUCCGCCUGAGUAGUACGUACGCAAGUAUGAAACUUAAAGGAAUUGACGGGACUCCGCACAAGCGGUGGAUCAUGUUGUUUAAUUCGAAGAUACACGAAAAAUCUUACCAGGUCUUGACAUACUCUGCAAAGCUAUAGAAAUAUAGUGGAGGUUAUCAGGGAUACAGGUGGUGCAUGGUUGUCGUCAGUUCGUGUCGUGAGAUGUUAGGUUAAGUCCUAAAACGAACGCAACCCUUGUCGUUAAUUGCCAGCACAUAAUGGUGGGGACUUUAACGAGACUGCCAAUUAAACAUUGGAGGAAGGUGAGGAUUACGUCAAAUCAUCAUGCCCCUUAUGAUCUGGGCUACAAACGUGAUACAAUGGCUGUGACAAAGAGUAGCUGAAACGCGAGUUUUUAGCCAAUCUCAAAAAAGCAGUCUCAGUUCGGAUUGAAGUCUGUAACUCGACUUCAUGAAGUUGGAAUCGCUAGUAACGCGAAUCAGCAUGUCGCGGUGAAUA
rnacentral:rRNA from 1 species